ACCUCCAACACCGGAGACUGGGUGCAUAUUCACCUGCUGAGCAUCGUCCUCCUGCCCCCUCACGAUGUCCCUCCCAGACCUGGAAAUGCAGGGACCCUGGGGCGUAAACGCCACUGAGGAGCUUACGAUGAAACCAACACCUUUGUGCUUCAGGAAGACGCGGGCCCUAGAGCAGAAAUAACCGAAGCCCCACGUUCCAGUCGCGGGAUGCGUGAUGCGGGAGGGAGAUGGAUGGACUGAGCCAGAUGGACAAGGGUUUUCAGACUUGCCAGGUUUAUUUUGCCCUCAGCACCCAGCAUCCUUCCCUGAGCGGCCGGAGAGAACGGCGGGGGAUGCGGAUGAGGCACCCAGGCUUCAGUGUAAAGGUUCGACCACUUCCCGGAGCCUCGGUUCACCGUGUUGGUGGUUCCAGAACCAUCUCCUGGCUCCCACUCCCCUGCCCCUUGCCCUACAGCACCCACAGGCGCACCCUUGCUGCUGAGGAGCCUGGGCCGUCCGUGCUCUUCCGCAAAGCCUGCGUUCACCAGACGCCAACUUCGCGGCAGAAUCCCGGAGCCUGACUGUGGACCAGGUGGGAGUCAAAGAGCCAAGGAACAGCCUUGGGAGAAACACAGAAACGCACGGUUGACACUGGGAGACACUUCCCAGGAAGCCUUGCCUCCUGGAGAAGAGCUGCAGAGGCCGGAUCUGGGGUCCGAGGAGCUCCAGAAGCUGUCGGAGGGGGGGUCCCCAGGAGAGCUGGGCUCCAAGAAGCUCCAGCAUCUGAGGCUCAGGCCCUGGGAGCUGGGGGUCCAAGGAGCCCCAGCAUCUGUGGGGGCCCAGGGAGCACCCCAAGCGGAGCCGCCAGAACCCUGCCCUGGGGGCCCCAAGCUGUGCCGUUUAGGUCUUCAGGUAGUUCCCAACGUGAGGGGGUUUCCCCAGGGUGGUUUCAACGAACCGUGGGAAAGUCGUGAAGGUGGGAGUCACCAAGCCUCGCGGUCGUGCCAACGGCACAGCCCACCGAGGUGUGAAUCUAGACGAGUGUUUUUCAUGGUUCUCGGUCCCCCGCCUCUGCACCUGCUGCCCCUCCCGAGCCCCUGGCUCGUCCUGCCCGUCCGCUCGCCCCGAGGACUCUCCAGCCGGAGAGUUUCUGCUCUGACUCUGGGCUGGAGGCCUUGAGGGGAUUUAAGACGCGCCAGCCCCGCCUCGCCCCGUUGUUUCCAUCCAGUUUUCUGGGCCCACCCAUCGCUGGCUUGCUUCUGCUCAGGGCGCUUUUCUCCACAGGCACAGAAACCCCGGAUGUCGUCCUUCCCUCUGGGCGCCGGGCCGGGGCCUCAGGUGCAUGUGCACACUCGCUGGGAAGCUGCUGAAGGGCGGUUUCUCCGCUCAGAACUCGAGGAAACGCCCGGCCCUGUGGCGGCAGAAGCACCGGCCGCCCCGGCCCUCCCGCUGCCCGGCUGGGCCGCUGCUGUCCCCCGUCCCCGGGAAGGUCUGUCCCGAGGCGGAGCCGGUGUGGCGGGUUACUGCUUUCGUGAGAUGCUCCGAGACAGCCACGGCCAAAGGCAAAAUACAUGGGAAAGGCUGCGGACUCCGCCGCACCCGCGGCCUUUGGGAGAUAACGUGGCGAAAGAGCAUUUUUUAAAAAACCCCCUGGCAACUUUUUUUUCCGGCAUUUUUAACCCCGGUGCUUUCUGAGGCGAUAUCGAUUAACAACCAGCAGAGGCAGAGCCUCGGAAGACACGCGCUGGAAGGCGCUGCCGGCGACCAGGCGCGGCAGGUGGCGGAGGCGGGAAGGAGGAAGCGGUUCUGGGGGCGCGUCCCUCGCAGGGGUUGCAGCACGUGCCAGGUGGGGGGAACCCACGUGGGACAGGAAACCCCAGGUCCUGAAAAGGUGGCACCGCCUCCUGACAGAACCCGAGCAGCCGUCAAGGGUAACUGGUGCCGCGUGGGGCAGGUGGCUCCGUUUGACAAGAGCUAAGAUGGCUGAGAAGACCAAGAAAAUCCCAAAUCGAAAGAAACAGGACCACCGUCCACGAAGACAUUAGCUGCCUCUUCACACAGACAAGAGGUGAACUCUUUCGGGGCGGCCCCUCGGCCCCUCGGUCUAUCCCUCGAAGCUCCUUUCGCGUUCUCACCACCAUCCAGACAAACUCCCCGUCUGGACCCCGAGAACUCCCAGGCCGCGGUGUUUCCAGCAAGUGCAGGGUGGGGCGCGGGAUAGACGCCACGGUGUGUGUCUGCGGCGCACAAUUUGCUGUUCCAACCCGCCGACGUGUCCCUUGCAUCUGCCACCACAAAGUCAUGACCGUACCCACCCCUCCCGAAAUAUGCUGGCAUUCCGGCAAUUUCUCCUCCCCUACCCCCCUCUCCCGCUGCUGGUCCUGAGGAAACCGCGGGUCUGUUUCUGUGGCUGAAACAUCGUUUGCAUUUUGUGCGGAGUUGCGUCCUAGGGACUCUCGGUCGGACUUCUUCCACUGGUUUUCAGCAUGAUAAUUUGGAGAUUCAUCAGCGCGGCAGCACGCGUUCAUACCUGGUUUUACUUCCGGUGAGCGUGCCAUGGGGAGGUUAUCCGUUCCUCUGUCGGCGACACCGAGGCUGUUUCCAGUACUUGGCUUUUACAAAUAGGGUUGCUAUGAACAGGUGUAUGCAGGGCUUUGACCAGGUACACGUCUUCGUUUCACUGGGUUAAACGCCUAGGAUGAAAAACACAGCAGGUUUUGCAUGUAUUCGUCUUUAAGAAACUUGCAGGCUGUGUUCCAGAGGAACAGCUACUUGAGUGCCCACCAGCACACGGAAGAGUUCCAGUCGCUUCACCGCCUCACCCACACUGGGUGUGGUGGGUCUGUUGGGCGUGAGCACUGUCUAGGGUGGGGUGUGCGCUCCCCGUAGUUUUCGCCUGUGUUUGCCGUGACGACCAAUGCCACCGACACCCUAAUUUGAAAGACCUGUGCUGUCUUUGGGGAAGUGUCUGCUCAGCCACCUGGUCUACUUUCAGCUGGCUCUUUCUCUCCCGACUAAUGGGUGUUCAGUGGCCUGUCUGUUCUGAGUACGGUCCUGGUGAGAUGCAGGCUUUUGAGGUGUCUUCUGCCGCUCUUCCACCCCCUUGACGUUUUCCUUCAAAGGCUUCUCCCUCGGCUCAGUUCUGCGGCGGUGACGUCCAGGAGGCCGCAUGCAGACCCCAGGUCAGCCAGGUGCCACUCUCUCCCGGCUUUCUGAGGUUCGGAGCCUCCAGGGGGCCUUGCAGCUCUGUGCACGUGAGGGUGACAGCCUGGGUCCCCUCGCUCAGCAGAGGGGAAAACGCCGAAGUGCUGGGAGAGGAGAAGCAACGCUGAGUGACUGAGGGAGCCAGGGUUUGCAGCAAUGGGAACUGUCAGGAAUGUGCUCUCUUAAUGCAGAAGUGGAAUCGAUCCCGGGCCUGGCCCGCAGCAGGCAAAGAGGCCUCCUUCCUGGAGGGGCACGGGAGCGCGAGCGAGGCCAAGGCGGUGCAGGUGGGAGGGUGGGCUCACCGGGACAUCUGCACUCGGAGUCCCCGGAGCCCUCCGGGUGCUAGGGCGAGUUCAGGGGUCUCUCCCCGUCCCUCGCUGACCCCCAGGAGCCCUUCCAGAGCCGCAGGCUCCCAUCCAAGGGGAAGCGCUUCCUAGACGAAAACGACUCUCCCAUAGAGCGCGCGUUCCAAAGUGGUCAUUAGAGAGCAUGGAAAACUCCUCCUGGAAAGAGCUGGAAAGUUCUCAUGGAAACUAAGUUGGACUCGCACAUUGGAAAUCAGUCACCUGCGAUAUUUAAAAAUGAAGCUAAGCUGUCUGAGUGUACAUUUCAGAAAUGCAGCUGGAGCUGCCCAAUAAAAAUAUUUAAAACAUC
rnacentral:lncRNA from 1 species